rnacentral:rRNA from 1 species
UACAGGGGGUGCUAGCGUUGUUCGGAAUUACUGGGCGUAAAGGGCGCGUAGGCGGCUUUGUAAGUCAGAUGUGAAAUCCCCGGGCUUAACUCGGGACGUGCAUUUGAAACUGCGAGGCUAGAGUGCAGUAGAGGAUGGUAGAAUUCCCAGUGUAGAGGUGAAAUUCGUAGAUAUUGGGAGGAAUACCGGUGGCGAAGGCGGCCAUCUGGGCUGCAACUGACGCUGAGGCGCAAAAGCGUGGGGAUCAAACAGG